GUUUCAUGGGAGAAGCUCUAAACCUUACCUCAACAUUUAUGUAAAGUUAAAGCUGCACAGAUUCUGAGUCUUGGAAGUUUAUUUCAAAGAAAAGACAAUGCCUGUGCCACAUGUUUGACUUGGUUUUAUAAAUAUUACGAAGCUCCAGGAAAUAUGAGCAGGAUCUCAAAUAUAUUCAACAAGCUUCCAAUUUUUGUCUUUUUAGAUGGUUGCUCUUGGAACACAGCAAUGUGCUUUAAGAUGUCAAGCCUCCUCUGCUGAUGCUGUAUGGAGAACAGACAAGCUUUCCCAUGAAGCCCUAACCAAACUGCAGAACUGUGAAUAAAAUCAAUAAUUGUUAUGAAAAGGCA